rnacentral:lncRNA from 1 species
CGAGCCCCCCGAGUCCCGUCGAGUCCCCCGAACCGCGGUCGCUGCGGCAGCUCUGCUCCUGAUCUUUCUGCGCGAGCAGCGCCGGGCGCUGGGCGAGAAGCUUCGUGUUCUCCCUCGUUGCAAGCGGGCAGCUGGGAGCCACCGGUCCCGGAGGAAUAUGCGGCGCGCUUGGAUCCUGCUCACCUGGGUCUUGGUGGCCUGCGUGUCCGCCGAGUCGCGGGCAGAGCUGACAUCUGAUAAAGACAUGUACCUCGACAACAGCUCCAUUGAAGAAGCUUCAGGAGUAUAUCCUAUUGACGAUGAUGACUAUGCUUCUGCAUCAGGCUCGGGAGCUGAUGAGGAUGGAGAGAGUCCAGAGCUGACCACGUCUCGGCCCAUUCCAAAGAUACCAUUCACUAGUACUGCUCCGAGAGUGGAAACCACAACACUGAGCAAGAUACAGGACAAGAUCCCUGCUCAGACAAAGUCACCUGAAGAAAUUGAUAAGGAAAAAGUUCACCUCCCUGACUCAGAAAGGAAAAUGGACCCAGCUGAAGAGGAUACAAAUGUAUAUACUGAGAAGCACUCAGACAAUCUGUUUAAACGAACAGAAGUCCUGGCAGCUGUCAUUGCUGGCGGAGUUAUCGGCUUUCUCUUUGCAAUUUUCCUUAUCCUGCUGUUGGUGUAUCGCAUGAGAAAGAAGGAUGAAGGAAGUUAUGAUCUUGGAGAACGCAAACCAUCCAGUGCUGCUUAUCAGAAGGCACCUACUAAGGAGUUUUAUGCGUAA